rnacentral:rRNA from 1 species
GAUGAACGCUAGCUACAGGCUUAACACAUGCAAGUCGAGGGGUAACGAGAGGGAAGCUUGCUUUCCUUGUCGACGACCGGCGCACGGGUGAGUAACGCGUAUCCAACCUGCCCCCAACUAGGGAAUAACCUUGCGAAAGUAAGACUAAUACCCUAUAAUUUCCUCAGAUGCCAUCUGCCGAGGAAUAAAGAUUUAUCGGUUGUGGAUGGGGAUGCGUCUGAUUAGCUUGUUGGCGGGGUAACGGCCCACCAAGGCAACGAUCAGUAGGGGUUCCGAGGGGCAGAUCCGCCGCAUGUGGACAGGGACACCGCCCAAAUUCCUACGGGAGGCAGAAGUGAGAAAUAGAGGUCAAUGGUCGGAAGCAUUAAACAGACAAGGAGAGUGCAGUAGGGCGGUACUAAAGCUUUUAAACUGCGUUUAUACAGGAAUAGGUUUAGCCACUUGUGUUUAUUGUGAGGUACUGUAAGAAUAAGGUCCUGCUAAUCCCGGGCCAGCCGCUGCCGUAA